rnacentral:rRNA from 1 species
GUUGAAAAAUUAGCGGAUGACUUGUGGCUGGGGGUGAAAGGCCAAUCAAACCGGGAGAUAGCUGGUUCUCCCCGAAAGCUAUUUAGGUAGCGCCUCGUGAAUUCAUCUUCGGGGGUAGAGCACUGUUUCGGCUAGGGGGUCAUCCCGACUUACCAACCCGAUGCAAACUACGAAUACCGAAGAAUGUUAUCACGGGAGACACACGGCGGGUGCUAACGUCCGUCGUGAAGAGGGAAACAACCCAGACCGCCAGCUAAGGUCCCAAAGUCAUGGUUAAGUGGGAAACGAUGUGGGAAGGCACAGACAGCCAGGAUGUUGGCUUAGAAGCAGCCAUCAUUUAAAGAAAGCGUAAUAGCUCACUGGUCGAGUCGGCCUGCGCGGAAGAUGUAACGGGGCUAAACCAUGCACCGAAGCUGCGGCAGCGACACUAUGUGUUGUUGGGUAGGGGAGCGUUCUGUAAGCCGUUGAAGGUGGCCUGUGAGGGUUGCUGGAGGUAUCAGAAGUGCGAAUGCUGACAUAAGUAACGAUAAAGCGGGUGAAAAGCCCGCUCGCCGGAAGACCAAGGGUUCCUGUCCAACGUUAAUCGGGGCAGGGUGAGUCGACCCCUAAGGCGAGGCCGAAAGGCGUAGUCGAUGGGAAACAGGUUAAUAUUCCUGUACUUGGUGUUACUGCGAAGGGGGGACGGAGAAGGCUAUGUUAGCCGGGCGACGGUUGUCCCGGUUUAAGCAUGUAGGCUGGUUAUCCAGGCAAAUCCGGAUAAUCAAGGCUGAGGUGUGAUGACGAGGCACUACGGUGCUGAAGUAACAAAUGCCCUGCUUCCAGGAAAAGCCUCUAAGCAUCAGGUAACAUCAAAUCGUACCCCAAACCGACACAGGUGGUCAGGUAGAGAAUACCAAGGCGCUUGAGAGAACUCGGGUGAAGGAACUAGGCAAAAUGGUGCCGUAACUUCGGGAGAAGGCACGCUGAUAUGUAGGUGAAGCGCCUUGCUCGUGGAGCUGAAAUCAGUCGAAGAUACCAGCUGGCUGCAACUGUUUAUUAAAAACACAGCACUGUGCAAACACGAAAGUGGACGUAUACGGUGUGACGCCUGCCCGGUGCCGGAAGGUUAAUUGAUGGGGUUAUCCGUAAGGAGAAGCUCUUGAUCGAAGCCCCGGUAAACGGCGGCCGUAACUAUAACGGUCCUAAGGUAGCGAAAUUCCUUGUCGGGUAAGUUCCGACCUG